GUGAGGAAUAUUGGACAAUGGGCGCAAGCCUGAUCCAGCCAUGCCGCGUGCAGGAAGACGCAUCUAUGGUGUGUAAACUGCUUUUGUACGGGAAGAAACACUCCCUCGUGAGGGAGCUUGACGGUACCGUAAGAAUAAGGAUCGGCUAACUCCGUGCCAGCAGCCGCGGUAAUACGGAGGAUCCAAGCGUUAUCCGGAAUCAUUGGGUUUAAAGGGUCCGUAGGCGGUUUAAUAAGUCAGUGGUGAAAGCCCAUCGCUCAACGAUGGAACGGCCAUAGAUACUGUUAGACUUGAAUUACAAGGAAGUAACUAGAAUAUGUAGUGUAGCGGUGAAAUGCUUAGAUAUUACAUGGAAUACCAAUUGCGAAGGCAGGUUACUACUUGUGGAUUGACGCUGAUGGACGAAAGCGUGGGGAGCGAACAGGAUUAGAUACCCCGGUAGUCC
rnacentral:rRNA from 1 species